CGGGCCCUCAGUGAGGGACAGAGAGAAGAACGUCAGCUCUUUAGAAGCAAAUUCACCGAGAAAAUGUGCAAAAAGAGGCGCUGGCACCGUUUGGAAAACCAAGCCCAGGUUUCGCUUGAUCUCAAUAGUAGGAGAAAGCAGAAGGAAGGGUUGAACCACUGCCUGGCUGAGGAUGAAGAGUGGAAGAAAAAUAAAACUGGAAAAGGUGGUGUCAACUGAAAAACAACAAAGAGAGCAGCCAUUUCAAGCAGCCUGCAAACACCAAAGGACUGAGCUACCCUGCCAGAAAGCUCUUCCUGUGGCAUCACGUGUAAGUUUUAUCCAUUAACGUACAGCUAGAUGUGGUGCUAGGAAGCCAUAAACAUCUAUGGGCAUCACAAGUGAAAAAGGGCCCCAAAUUGUUUCCCAGACAGCAUAGAGAUUUCUGGAAAACCUACUCCAAAUGUAACCCAGGUAGAGUGCCUGCUGCUGCACUGCUUCCCAGUGUAACCCUUACUGCUUUGAAGGGUGGAUAGGCUGAAAGACAGGGUAAAUAUGCUGCCCUGUUUAGGUCUUUGUAACUUUUGGAUGGAUUAAACCAUGCUCAGCACGUUCUGCCUCGCCCUGCCCCUCCUCCUGUAUUGACUUCCUUCAUGUGGGGUAGGAGAGCUUUUGUUCACCUGGGAGCCAUAACCCUGGCCCCCCCUGCCCUGCCUGCCUUGGAGCUCAGCCCAUGCACUGC
rnacentral:lncRNA from 1 species